rnacentral:lncRNA from 1 species
GUAACAUGAAAAUUCAACCAUUAAAGUUUCAGAUAACUGCGGGGUAGCAGAAAGUAUCCUCCUCGUAGAUUUAUAAGCUACUCUCCGGAUAUCCCAACAUGGAUGGCAUUGUAAAAAGAGUAUAAACUGUGAAAAAUUAAGUACCAGUUAGAAAUAAAAACAAAUUCAUAAAAGCAUAAUGACACCCAAUUAGAUAAACUGCCUCGCCAAUUAACCUGCAUUAAUGUCUUAACUUCAAAUGUCUCCAAUACCCUGCAGAAAAGGGACAUUCAACUUUGAUCAUGAUACUUCCUGGCAACACUAAAAAAAUAUACACAGAUAGCAAACUGAGAGUAGAAACCUUCUCAAAAGUAGGAUUCCUAUGUGCACCAUAAAACUAACCUUCGUGAAUGAUCUACCAGCAUCACCUCAAAAAGGUCAUGACAAGCCAAACAGUCCUCGGUUGAUAAUUUUGAGGCCUGGAAAGAGUAUAGAAGCAAGUUAAGAGAAACAAACAAACAACAACCCAGUAUAAUCCCACUUAGUGGGGUCUGGGAAGGGUAAUAUGUACGCAGACCUUACCCCUACCCAUGGGUAGAGAGACUGUUUCCAAAUAGACCCCCGGCAUCCUUCCCUCCAAGAACUUCCCAGCUUNNNNNNNNNNNNNNNNNNNNNNNNNNNNNNNNNNNNNNNNNNNNNNNNNNNNNNNNNNNNNNNNNAUCCUUCCCUCCAAGAACUUCCCACCGUGCUCUUGGGAAGACUGGAACUCACAACCUCUCGGUUGGAAGUGUGAGUUGCUUACCAUCAGAGCAACCCCUCUUGUCUCAAGCAAGUUAAGAGAAUCUUAAUGAAAUCAGAACACAAACUUAAGGAUUUCACAUGCAUCUGGUAUCAAUAUAUAGGUCCUCCUAAGAAGGCAUCCCAAGAAGAGCAAAAGUAAGAAAGAAGGCCGUUGAAAUUUGAAGAGAUGAAGCCUUGGAAAAGAGCAUCAACUUCAAAGCCGAAAGUUUUACUUCAUUAGUUGAUUGGACUAAAAGAAUGCCAUGAGAAAUUGCAUAUUUACUAACAAUGCAGACAACCUCAUAUUAAAUGGGCAACAGAGAGAAUAUCAUCUUAUUCUUCUCGUGUGCCAGCUGAGAAAAUAAUCAAUCAAGAUGACCACAAAUAGCUCAGAAUAUUCACCAGAGGAAUUGGCACAACUGACGGCUCGUUCUGUGAUACCAAUGACCAAAUUUUCUCCUUUAUUAUAGUCUCAUCUAACAACAGCAGCAAAGGCAAAUUAGAAUGUGUAAUAAACAAAUAUUCAUAUGAAAAGAAAUUACUGAAUAGUAUCACAGAACCCAAAAUCUAGGUCAGUAACCAUUUCUUUCUUAUCAAUAGGUCAUUAACCAUUAUUCAUGCACCACAAAAGUGAAAAGUCCUAAUACACCUGCUUUAACAUCCACUGCAGCAAGUUUAGCCACACAGAGCAAUGCAUAAAUUCCAUCCAACCGUUGUGCUGCUUUUGUGUAACCAGAUUUAACAAGUUGUAUAAGAGUUGCCAGCAGAGAGGACAUCUGUGGAAGAGCAUCAGCAUUUUGGCACAUUGCUCGCAGGCAGCGAAGAUGACCUCUUCUAAGUGCUUCCUUCUCUUUGAGCCCUGAUGCAAUGAGAGAUAUGACAUCCGGCUGAAUAGCAUCAGCACAUCGUGUGGUCCAAGCAGCCAGACAAGAUAAACAUGCAAGCUUGGCCUCUUCAUUACCUGGAUAAGCAUAAAGAAUACAACACAGAUCUGUAAGCUAAAGAAGACAUUGCGGAAAAAGGAAUUGUACAAGAGAAGCUAGGCACACACAUCAACGAGAUAAAGAUUCCAAAACGUACCAUCAUCCUUGUAACAGGACAGAAGGAAAUUACAAAUAGUCUUUGACAAGCUGUUAAGGUGUUUUCCUUCUGGGGCAUUUGAUAAUUCUUGCAGUGCAUUUAUCAUGCCAACUCUCUGAUAGGGAAAUGUAAGCCUUCCUUCCGAACCUGUCAAUAUUCCAGAUCCAGUAAAUUGCUAGCUAAUUAGUGUGCAUUUAUCAUGCCAACUCUCUGAUAAGGAAAUGUAAGCCUUCCUUCCGAACCUGUCAAUAUUCCAGAUCCAGUAAAUUGCUAGCUAAUUAGUAAAGCGCCAUAUUAAUAAGUCGAAAACAUAUAAAGUCAGAAGCACAAACCUCCAAUAACCAAUCUGACUGCAUUAAACAUCGCUUCUAUAGCAUCUGGACUGCUAGAUUUUAUGCUUAAACACCUUACGAUGGAUAACGCAGCAAUCCUUCUAGCUUCAUCUGCAUGUCUCACCUGUGUCAAUAAAACUGAAAGAAUCUCUACGGCAUAUUUACUCAAGUCGAGUUUCGAAGAUCGCAAAAGGAUUCCAACUGAUUCCAAGACAAGCUCCGGAUUUCGUUUCAACAUCUUGACAGAUGAGGGAAUGACAGUGUUCUUAAAAUCAUCAUGUGUCAACCGAGAAAAUAAUGGAAUGAAAGCAUCACUGAGGCCCUUUGGUGGUUUUUCUCUUGCAUUUAGAACAGCUUUAACAUACAUCUCAAGAAAAUUUUGCUGCAAGACAAAAACAACAAUAUGUAAAGAUAAAGCAUAGAGGCAUAGGAGGAUCCUAACAUCUUUGGCUUCACGUGCCAUAACUUUUACAUCACAAGAGGCAUCAUAGCUGCUUGAAAACCAGUUCAUACCUUCCAUUGAUCAAAUGAAGGUGGAUUUGCACUUGAAAAUUCUAGCAUCAAGAGUAUAAGCUCAGGACAAUCCUUGUAAGUGAUCCUUGAAUCCCUUAGUUCCUCCAUGAAAGUUCUGUAAAUAUCUGGUGCCUGAAAAAGAAACACGUUAUAAUGAAACUUAGGACCUCUAAAACCAUGCUUCAAUCAAGACCUGCAGAUUAAUCAAACGAGAUGUAACCUUUGAAAACAAAAAGAAUAAGCUUUUUUUGCAGGUCCUUCUGACAUGGGCCGAUCCUUGCAUGCCAAUAUGCAAGACUGAUGCUUGUGCUUGCGCUAGUCGACAAACUGCGUUCUUUGAUACAGAGGCAAACUGGCUAUUAGUUAGGAGAAGACAAGACCAACUUAAGAGUCUGUGGCACCCUAUAUAGGAUUGGAAGUUGAACUGUUUUUCCAUGAAUUGUACAAGGGUUCCAGCAAAAGCUUUCAUAAAAGCAAUUUCACCCAAUGCUUUGAUAAUCACAUCAUCCACUGCAGCCCUUGAUCCUCGAUCAUCAUAAAUAAAUACUGUUUUGAAAACUACUUCUACCAACAGGGAAGCAAUUUCAGUUGUCAUCUCUGUAGAAUUCAAAGCCAACAGUGAGCUUAACAUAAAAAUUACAUCCUGAAAUUAGAAAGAGUAAAUAUUUAUUCACUUUAUAAUAAGAAUACUUCACCAAAAGAACUUAUAGAAAUGCACCACAAAAGAGUGUUUACCCCCUACCCAUUCAAAAACAAACAUGUUUACAACUUCCAUCAAAUUUAUAAUAGGAAUACUUCACCAAAAGAACUUAUAGAAAUGCACCACAAAAGAAUGUUUACCCGCUACCCAUUCAAAAACAAAAACGUUUACAACUUCUAUCAAGAGUCGGAUAUGUCACAUAAGCAACAUUGCACUAACUCUACCAUGUCCAUAUGUCAACCCUGUGCAAUCAAUAGUUAUUACCAACAAUUCGCUUGUAGAGGAGUGGCCUAACAACCUUUAUACCCAUUUCUCCUAAUGGUAGAGGAAAGACAUAUAUUACCAGCACUCAUGUGAUUUUAUUCACUAAUUUGAACAUGUAUGAGAGGGAAUUGAAAAUGCAAACAUAAUGAAUAAAACAAAAAGACAGAUUACUCUAUCAGCCCAACCCCCACCCCCCAACCAAAUGAAGGUUACUAAGAUAACGUUAAACGAGGUAAAGUAAACAAUUCUAUCCUACAGCAAAUUGUCUGAUUUUCCAUUGUAGAGUCUCUCGUUUCCUAUCCUGUAAUGGUUGCUCGUUUAUCAUGCUAUCAUAAGAUACAUUGGCAUAACCAUCCCCUGAUUCAUUGAGUAACUUUUUUUUUUCUGAUUCGCUCAGUAACUCUUUGUUAAACUAAUAAGAGUUGUAUCGUCUAACUUCAUUCAAAAAUGAAAUUUGAAUGUCUAUAGAAUCAAAUUUCAAAAUCAUUUCUAUUUGAUCAUUCCAUUCUUUCUACAGCUGAGGGUAUAUCGAAAACAACCUCUCUACCCUUCCCAGGGUAGGGGUAAGGCUGCAUAGAUCUUACCCAACCCUCAGGGUGGGCCUGGUGGCAAUUGACUUGAGCCUUGGAGUUUGUUACCUUUCAAGGUCUCAAGUUCGAAAUCCACGUGCAAAAAUUUUUAGGGCCAUCGGGCUGGGUCAAACCUGAAUUAACCGUGGUGCACUUGCGAAAAACUCCUUGCCAAGGGCCUGGCCACCCCCGGGAUUAGUCGGGGCUCUAAUAGACUCGGACACCCGGUACAAAUCAAAAAAACUUGCAUCCAUCUUACCCUUCCCAACCCCCACCUGUGGCAAAUCACUGGGUUAUUGUUGUUGUUGUUGUAUCUCUAUUUGAUCAUUGUUUAGAUUAUGCUGAAUUACAAUGUAGGUGCUGCAGUGAGUCAUCUAGAUGUCGGAAGUUUAAAGACUUGAUUGAGGAAUGCAAUAUCAUCCGACAAAAGCCCCGGCAGGACUUGCUCAAAUAAUGAUUCAGUUACAAUUCAAUUCUAUGUGGAGAUCUUAACAAUGCAUAACAUGGAAUGGAUGUGAAAACAGAAAUGUUAGUUUUCUCAAGCUUUCCCCUCUUCUAUAACACCUGUAAGUUAAAGAUGUUUCAAAUGUCACAUUGAAGGCUAAAGGGAACACUAUUUACUUAAAAUCUGCAAUACAAUGGUAACAUAACCAUAUCCCAUACUACUUACUGCAUUAAGCUUCCAUGGUCUAUUUUCCAAAUGUCUCAACCCAAAUCUAACGUAAAAGAGAAUGCUAUGACCCUUCCAUCUAAAUAAAUAAGAGCAAAUAAUUAACCAGGAUGAGCAAAUAACCAAUCAAACCAUCAAAUAUACGCACCAAGCUGGCAUUGGUGUCCCUUUUUUCAUCAAUAAUCUCAAUUUUAAUUAAGAGCCCUUUUGGACAUAAGAAUAUUUCACUUUUUUCGAAAUUAGCGUU